UACGGAGGGGGCGAGCGUUAUUCGGAAUUAUUGGGCGUAAAGGGCGCGUAGGCGGCUUGAUGUGUCAAAGGUGAAAUCCCUCGGCUCAACUGAGGAACUGCCUUUGAAACUGUCUGGCUUGAGGCCGGGAGAGGGUAGCGGAAUUCCCAGUGUAGCGGUGAAAUGCGUAGAUACUGGGAGGAACACCGGUGGCGAAGGCGGCUACCUGGACCGGUUCUGUCGCUGAUGCGCGAAAGCGUGGGUAGCAAACAGG
rnacentral:rRNA from 1 species